rnacentral:lncRNA from 1 species
GAAGGAAGCGCCCCCCUUGACACUCUCGCUGGUGAAGCCAAGCGGGAGGGGAGCUGCGCCCUCCCUGACCUCCCAGGCUGCGGCUCAGGUGGCCAACCAGGCCCUGAUCCGGGGUGACUGGAACCGGGGCGGUGGGGUGCGGGUGGCCAGCGCACAACAGGUAAGCCCGGCCCAGUCUGCCCCCAUCCCCUCAUCCUCCUUUCCCCUUUCCCCCUGCUUUUCCCUCCCUUCCCCAUGCUUCCCAUUGCCCCUCCAAUGUCCAGUUCAAAUCUCUCGAGGACCUCAAGGCCUCCCCUCCACUGCACCCCCUCUGAUGGCCCCUUUAUGUGACCCUCAACUGUACACAGGUCCCUCCCCGGCUUCCUCCGGGGGCCCGGCCCGGCCGGAGGAUGUUCAGCACCUCUGCCUUGCAGGGUGCCCAGGGGGGUGCCAGGGCUUUGCUUGGAGGCUACUCCCAAGCCUACGGGACUGUCUGCCACUCUGCACUGGGCCACCUGCCCCUGCUGGAGGGGCACCAUGUGUGAGCCGCCCUACUCCCUUCACCUGGCCCUCUGUUCCUGCCCCAGCCCCUUCCCCAAAUCCCUCUCCAAUCUCCUGCACCCCUUA